rnacentral:antisense_RNA from 1 species
GAACACAAAAUGGCGACACGUGGUUAGCAUUCGUCGCCAACGAGAAAUUGGGGUCGGCCCGAAAGCUCUAGAAUGCACCCCCCUUCUUCCCCGGGGCCUUCCACCUCCGCGAGUUUUAUGACUUAAAAAACCCCACAGGCUGGUCUGAAGAGGAAGACAAACAUAAAGAUGAAGUGCUUAAUUCAAGGUCACACAAUGUCGGGGAUGGACCUCCAGAUUUCCUUACUGACCUGCAUUAUCUUGUGGAUACCUGAGUGAAUUCCACACCACCCAUUUUAUAGAUGAAACCACUGAGACAUGGAGCAACUGACUGAGUAGUCACUGCCCCACCCCUGCCUGGAGCCUCACACAUGACUCGUCUCCUCUCAGUGACCACAGGAAAACAAGCUCAGGGCUCCCACUGAUUGUACAUUAUGGUGAGACGUGGUCUUGUAACACAGUGGUUAAGAAUGUGACUUUGGAGCCAGCCUGCUAGGGGCUGAAUUCUGACUCAGCCAUUUACUAACUGUGUGACCUUAGGUGGAGUCUCACUCUGUAGCCCAAGCUGGAGUGGUGUGAUCUCGACUCACUGCAACCUCCGCCUCCUGGGCUCAAGUGAUUCUCGUGCCUCAGCCUCCUGAGUAGCUGGGACUACAGUUGUCCCUUGGUGUGGGAUUGCUUCCAGUACCUCUGUGUGUAACAAAAGCUGCACCAUUCAAGUCCCACAGUUGCCCUGCGAAACCUCUGUAUAUGAAAAGUUGGCCGUCCAUGUACAUGGGUUUCCCAUCCUGUCACAGAAUUUUCCACACUCCUUGACGGAGGUGCUUAACCCUUAUCCAUCAGCAUUCUCAGACAGCACCUCCGGUUAGGGACAGUAUCUGACCGUCCGACAUCCCUGCAGCCCCCAU